ACCGCCAUUAGCUCAUCAGGAAAGAGCGCCAGCCUUCGAAGCUGGCUGCGCGGGGUUCAAGUCCCCGAUGGCGGUCCAU
rnacentral:tRNA from 2 species